UCAGUAACGGCGAGUGAAGCGGCAACAGCCCAGAUUUGAAAUUCGACUUUCGGGUCCGACUUGUAAUCUGCAGAUGAGUCUUUUGACGGAGCGCCGUCCAAGUUCCCUGGAACGGGACGCCGGAGAGGGUGAGAGCCCCGUACCGACGUGCGCCGAGUCUUUGCAAAGCUCAUUCGAAGAGUCGAGUAGUUUGGAAAUGCUGCUCUAAUUGUGGGGUAAAUCUCCCAUAAGGCUAAAUACUGGCCAGAGACCGAUAGCGCACAAGUAGCGUGAGCGAAAGAUGAAAAGAGCCUUGAACAAGGGCGUCAAAAAGCAUGUGAAAUUGUUAUGGGGGAAGCGCUCAAUGCCAGACGUGGCGGCGGUUGGUUACCCAGUGUUCUUCACUGGCGCACUCUUCCGUCGCCAGGCCAGCAUCAGUUCGGUCCGGGGCUUACUUCCGCUCGGAACGUGGCUCUUCGGAGUGUUAUAGCCCUGCGGCGACGCCCUGGGCCGGACUGAGGAACGCGCAUCUGCCCGGAUGCUGGCGUAAUGGCUUUUAGCGACCCGUCUUGAAACACGGACCAAGGAGUUGACCUAGUAUGCGAGUGUUUGGGUGUCAAGCCCUCACGCGCAGUGAAAGCGAACGCAGGUGGGAGCCUCGGCGCACCAUCGACCGAUCCUGAAGUUUACGGAUGGAUUUGAGUAGGAGCAUACUGGGUCUGACCCGAAAGAAGGUGAACUAUGCAUGAAUAGGGUGAAGCCAGAGGAAACUCUGGUGGAGGCUCGCAGCGGUUCUGACGUGCAAAUCGAUCGUCAAAUUUGUGCAUGGGGGCGAAAGACCAAUCGAACCU
rnacentral:rRNA from 1 species